rnacentral:rRNA from 1 species
UAGGAUAGAGGCCUACCAUGGUGGUAACGGGUAACGGGGUGUUAGGGCACGACACCGGAGAGGGAGCCUGAGAAACGGCUACCACAUCCAAGGAUGGCAGCAGGCGCGCAAAUUACCCAAUCCCGACACGGGGAGGUAGUGACAAUAAAUAACAAUACGGGGUUCUUUCGGAUCUCGUAAUUGGAAUGAGUACAAUUUAAAUCUCUUAACGAGGAACAAUUGGAGGGCAAGUCUGGUGCCAGCAGCCGCGGUAAUUCCAGCUCCAAUAGCGUAUAUUAAAGUUGUUGCAGUUAGAAAGCUCGUAGUUGAAUUUCGGGGUUAGUAGGUUGGUCAUGCCUCUGGUAUGUACUGGUCUCACUGAUUCCUCCUUCCUGAUGAACCGUAAUGCCAUUAAUUUGGUGUUGCGGGGAAUUUGGACUGUUACUUUGAAAAAAUUAGAGUGUUUAAAGCAAGCUAACGCUUGAAUACAUUAGCAUGGAAUAAUGAAAUAGGACGUUCGAUCCUAUUCUGUUGGCUUCUAGGAUUGACGUAAUGAUUAAUAGGGAUAGUUGGGGGCAUUAGUAUUCAAUUGUCAGAGGUGAAAUUCUUGGAUUUAUUGAAGACUAACUACUGCGAAAGCAUUUGCCAAGGAUGUUUUCAUUAAUCAAGAACGAAAGUUAGGGGAUCGAAGACGAUCAGAUACCGCCGUAGUCUUAACCAUAAACUAUGCCGACUAGG